UAAUAAUAGCCGUAUUCCGUCUGUCUGUGUGUCCGCGAAAGCGGCGUCUUGUAACGGAAACACGAAAUUUUUAAAAUGCGCACGAAUAUCAAAUGCAAUAUAUUUUUACCGACUUCGUUUUGACCGCUCGCGCGUGGAAUACCAUUCACAACGCCUGAUUCUUAAAAAAAAAACCAAGAUUUUCGCGACCAGAAAGAACCCAAGAUCUUCGCGGAACGAAGGCCAUUUUGAUAAUGGUCGUGUUUGUGGUCAGUGUGUGAGCUAGAUCAUCAGCAGCGUUGAUCAUCACGACCACGUGAGUAAACACACAAAGCAGAAAUACCAAAUCAAAGUCGUAAUGGACUGAGCGUGGCCUACACUUGGACAUAAAAUUCACGCAACUUUGUCCCAGUGGGCAUGGCGAACUUUGAUAUGAGGACGAAACGCGGUUGCAACACGAAAAACAAAUAAACAUGAAGUGAUAUAAAAAAGAAAGGAAAGAAGAAACAACAACAAGUACGCAUUUUGUCCUCGAUACCAAAACAACGCUGCAUUCUCUCUGAUCGAGGUUGAACUUUACGCAUAAAAGCCCACAAAUUCUUGGAUCGUACCAAUAUAACCGCUUUUUUAUAAGAAUAUCAGGUUGAGAUUAGGUCUAUUGUUUAAAACACAAAUAAGAAUAAUUGCCAGCCUGGUUUGAAUUUUCAUUUUCUUAUAAAAAAAGCGUGUAUUAGAUAAGCCCUAGGCAUAGCGCGUCGUAAAAGAAAAGCGCACACCUAUACCAGAAUUUGCGCAGGAUCUAUGCUCAAACUUAAAGACCAGGUUUAAAAAGUGCCAUAGGCUUUAUAUUAGCGUUGAUCUAAACAUCUGGUAAAAAGUGUUUAUCUUGUAUCAAAACUCGUUUUGGAAGAGUAUCGACUUUGUUAAUGAGUCCACGUA